rnacentral:rRNA from 1 species
UAAGGAAUAUUGGUCAAUGGACGGAAGUCUGAACCAGCCAUCCCGCGUGCAGGAUGACUGCCCUAUGGGUUGUAAACUGCUUUUAGCAGAGACGAAACGCCUUCAUUUAUGAGGGUCUGACGGUAUCUGCAGAAUAAGCACCGGCUAACUCCGUGCCAGCAGCCGCGGUAAUACGGAGGGUGCAAGCGUUAUCCGGAAUCACUGGGUUUAAAGGGUGCGUAGGCGGAUAUUUAAGUCAGUGGUGAAAUCU